rnacentral:rRNA from 1 species
AUUGAACGCUGGCGGCAGGCUUAACACAUGCAAGUCGAGCGGUAGCACAAGAGAGCUUGCUCUCUGGGUGACGAGCGGCGGACGGGUGAGUAAUGUCUGGGAAACUGCCUGAUGGAGGGGGAUAACUACUGGAAACGGUAGCUAAUACCGCAUAACGUCGCAAGACCAAAGAGGGGGACCUUCGGGCCUCUUGCCAUCAGAUGCGCCCAGAUGGGAUUAGCUAGUAGGUGGGGUAAUGGCUCACCUAGGCGACGAUCCCUAGCUGGUCUGAGAGGAUGACCAGCCACACUGGAACUGAGACACGGUCCAGACUCCUACGGGAGGCAGCAGUGGGGAAUAUUGCACAAUGGGCGCAAGCCUGAUGCAGCCAUGCCGCGUGUGUGAAGAAGGCCUUCGGGUUGUAAAGCACUUUCAGCGAGGAGGAAGGUGGUGAACUUAAUACGUUCAUCAAUUGACGUUACUCGCAGAAGAAGCACCGGCUAACUCCGUG